AAAGACUUAGUCCUAACCUUACUGUUGGUUUCUACUAAACCUACACAUGCAAGUAUCCGCAGCCCGGUGUAAAUGCCCUUGGCCUCUUACCAAGACAAAAGGAGCCGGCAUCAGGCGCGCCCCCGCAGCCCACAACGCCUUGCUCAGCCACACCCCCACGGGUCUAUCAGCAGUGACUAACAUUAAGCAAUAAGUGUAAACUUGACUUAGUUAUAGUAGACUAGGGUUGGUAAAUCUUGUGCCAGCCACCGCGGUCACACAAGAAACCCAAAUCAACCGUUAUGCGGCGUAAAGAGUGGCCCAAAACACUAUCCUCAUCAACUAGGACCAAACUACAGCCGAGCUGUCAUAAGCCCAUGAUGUACCCAAACCCCGUAUUAACAUAGACCUAGCACCAAGGACGGACCCACCCCACGAAAGCCAGGGGACAAACUGGGAUUAGAUACCCCACUAUGCCCGGCCCUAAAUCUUGAUGCUCCGCACCACCUGAGCACCCGCCUGGGAACUACGAGCACAAACGCUUAAAACCCUAAGGACUUGGCGGUGUCCCAAAACCCCCUAGAGGAGCCUGGUCUAUAAUCGAUAACCCACGCUACACCUCACCCCUCCUUGCCCAAGCAGCCUACAUACCGCCGUCGCCAGCCCACCUUAUAUGAAAGCACAACAGUGGACACAAUAAUCCCCCCAUUAACAAGACAGGUCAAGGUAUAGCCUAUGGAGGGGAAGAAAUGGGCUACAUUUUCUAACCUAGACAACACACGAAAAAGGGCCUGAAAUAGCCCUCAGAAGGAGGAUUUAGCAGUAAAACAUGACAAUCGAGCCUGUUUUAAGCCGGCCCUGGGACACGUACAUACCGCCCGUCACCCUCCUCGCAAGCCACAAACACACAUAACUAACCCCUCAAUUAGCUAAAGACGAGGCAAGUCGUAACAAGGUAAGUGUACCGGAAGGUGCACUUAGCACC
rnacentral:ncRNA from 1 species